CCUACGGGAGGCAGCAGUAGGGAAUAUUGCUCAAUGGGGGAAACCCUGAAGCAGCAACGCCGCGUGGAGGAUGAAGGUUUUCGGAAGGUAAACUCCUAUUGGUAGAGAAGAAAAUGACGGUAGAUAACGAAUAAGCACCGGCUAACGCCGUGCCAGCAGCCGCGGGAAUACGGAGGGUGCAAGCGUUACGCGGAAUCACUGGGCGGAAAGAGCGCGUAGGCGGGAUAGGAAGUGAGAGGGGACAUCCUAGGGCUGAACCAUAUAACUGCAUUUGAAACUGUUAUUCUAGAGUAUGGGAGAGGUAGGUGGCAUUCUUGUUGUAGGGGUCAAAUCCGU
rnacentral:rRNA from 1 species